UGCGCAGGUGGGCUUGUAAGUCAGUGGUGAAAUCUUGCCGCUUAACGGUAAAAUUGCCAUUGAUACUGCAAGUCUUGAGUAUGGUUGAGGUAGGUGGAAUGUGUUGUGUAGCGGUGAAAUGCAUAGAUAUGACACAGAACGCCGAUUGCGAAGGCAACUUACUAAGCCAUUACUGACGCUGAGGCACGAAAGCGUGGGGAGCAAACAGGAUUAGAUACCCUGGUAGUCC
rnacentral:rRNA from 1 species